rnacentral:rRNA from 1 species
AGUGAGCGGGAAAAGCUCAAAUUUAAAAUCUGGCGGCUUUUGGCUGUCCGAGUUGUAGUCUGGGAGAAGUGGCUUUUCCGCGCUGGACCGUGGUAUAAGUCUCUUGGGAACAGAGCGUCAUAGAGGGGUGAGAAUCCCGUCUUUGACACGGACUACCAGUGGCUUUGUGAUGCGCUCUCAAAGAGUCGAGUUGUUUGGGAAUGCAGCUCAAAAUGGGUGGUGAAUUCCAUCUAAAAGCUAAAUAUUGGCGAGAGACCGAUAGCGAACAAGUACCGUGAGGGAAAGAUGAAAAGCACUUUGGAAAGAGAGUUAAACAGUACGUGAAAUUGCUGAAAGGGAAACGCUUGAAGUCAGUCGCGUCGUCCGGAACUCAGCCUUGCUUUUGCUUGGUGCACUUUCCGGAUGACGGGUCAGCAUCGAUUUCGACCGUCGGAAAAGGGCUGGAGUAAUGUGGCACCUCCGGGUGGUGUUAUAGACUCUGGUCGCAUACGGCGGUUGGGAU